rfam:Merops nubicus contig53408, whole genome shotgun sequence.
GGAUGUGAGGGCGAUCUGGCUGCGACAUCUGUCACCCCACUGAUCGCCAGGGUUGAUUCGGCUGAUCUGGCAGGCUAGGCGGGUGUCCCCUUCCUCCCUCACCGCUCCAUGUGCGUCCCUCCCGAAGCUGCGCGCUUGGUCGAAGAGGACGACCUUCCCCGAUAGAGGCGUACCGUUCAUCGGUCAAGGGUAUACGGUAGCUGCGCUCCCCUGCUAGAGCCUCCAAACAAGCUCAAGGUCCAUUUGUAGGAGAACGUAGGGUAGUCAAGCUUCCAAGACUGCAGACACAUCCAAGUGAGGCACUGCAUGGGGCAGUCUGCCAUUGUAAUU